UACAGGGGGGGCGAGCGUUACUCGGAAUUAUUGGGCGUAAAGAGCGUGUAGGCGGUUCGUUAAGUCUGAUGUGAAAGCCCCGGGCCCAAUCCGGGAAGUGCAUUGGAUACUGGCAAACUAGAGUGCAGGAGAGGUGAGCGGAAUUCCAGGUGUAGAGGUGAAAUUCGUAGAUAUCUGGAGGAACAACAGUGGCGAAGGCGGCUCGCUGGACAGUAACUGACGCUAAGGCGCGAAAGCGUGGGGAGCAAACAGG
rnacentral:rRNA from 1 species